UGGGGAAUAUUGCACAAUGGGCGCAAGCCUGAUGCAGCCAUGCCGCGUGUGUGAAGAAGGCCUUCGGGUUGUAAAGCACUUUCAGCGAGGAGGAAGGGUAGUGUGUUAAUAGCACAUUGCAUUGACGUUACUCGCAGAAGAAGCACCGGCUAACUCCGUGCCAGCAGCCGCGGUAAUACGGAGGGUGCAAGCGUUAAUCGGAAUUACUGGGCGUAAAGCGCACGCAGGCGGUUUGUUAAGUCAGAUGUGAAAUCCCCGCGCUUAACGUGGGAACUGCAUUUGAAACUGGCAAGCUAGAGUCUUGUAGAGGGGGGUAGAAUUCCAGGUGUAGCGGUGAAAUGCGUAGAGAUCUGGAGGAAUACCGGUGGCGAAGGCGGCCCCCUGGACAAAGACUGACGCUCAGGUGCGAAAGCGUGGGGAGCAAAACAGGAUUAGAUACCCUGGUAGUCCACGCUGUAAACGAUGUCGACUUGGAGGUUGUGCCCUUGAGGCGUGGCUUCCGGAGCUAACGCGUUAAGUCGACCGCCUGGGGGAGUACGGCCNCAAGGUUAAAAC
rnacentral:rRNA from 1 species